rnacentral:misc_RNA from 1 species
UCUCUCUCUCUCUCUCUCUCUCUCCUCUCCUCUCCUGGUGAGAAAGAAAGAUACAACCCUCUUCUCUCUUUGCUUUGCUCUGAAUCCACUCAAACUCAAAGGGAAUGCGACUUGGUAAAUACGAGCUCGGCAGGACUCUUGGGGAAGGCAAUUUUGGAAAAGUCAAAUUAGCGAAGAACAUUGAAUCCGGCCAACCUUUUGCUGUUAAGAUUCUUGAGAAGAACAGAAUCAUCC